ensembl:lncRNA
GUAAGGGAUGAUGGGGGUGGAUUUGGUGUGGGGGUAGUCAGAAUAGAGACUAUUGACUUUAAUUCCAACGUGUUGGUACGUUUUACUUGAAACAUGCGAUUUAGAUCUCUCAGUCAGCAAAAACAAGGAAGGGAUUGCUGCUGAUGGAUUAAAUGGGACCUGGCUCGUACUGCACCUCACCUGUAGCAGUUACCUCUCUUCCUCCCACCACAGCAGUGAAAAGGAAUGACCUAAAUGGAGGUGGAUGGAUGGAUGGCCUUCCCGCUCCUGUACCUCAGUGGUGUAAUAUAUCUACUCACCCAAGAUUUGAAUUUCAAACGUGGACAACAAGAGGCCGAAUUUCUACACUAAAGAAGACAGGUUCUUUACCACUAGCACUACCUGAGAAGCCCUGGUUUGAGGCUGGCGAGACAUAUGCAUCUGUUGACAGAGCCAAUCAUGGGAAGCAGAGUCAGCGGGCUUUGGACCACUCAGAGGCUAAUUGAGAAAAAGCUGUAAUUGUGGAGACAGCA